GUGGGGAAUCUUGCGCAAUGGGCGAAAGCCUGACGCAGCCAUGCCGCGUGAAUGAUGAAGGUCUUAGGAUUGUAAAAUUCUUUCACCGGGGACGAUAAUGACGGUACCCGGAGAAGAAGCCCCGGCUAACUUCGUGCCAGCAGCCGCGGUAAUACGAAGGGGGCUAGCGUUGCUCGGAAUUACUGGGCGUAAAGCGCACGUAGGCGGACAUUUAAGUCAGGGGUGAAAUCCCGGGGCUCAACCCCGGAACUGCCUUUGAUACUGGGUGUCUGGAGUAUGGAAGAGGUAAGUGGAAUUCCGAGUGUAGAGGUGAAAUUCGUAGAUAUUCGGAGGAACACCAGUGGCGAAGGCGGCUUACUGGUCCAUUACUGACGCUGAGGUGCGAAAGCGUGGGGAGCAAACAGGAUUAGAUACCCUAGUAGUCC
rnacentral:rRNA from 1 species